rnacentral:rRNA from 1 species
AGUGAACGCUGGCGGUAGGCCUAACACAUGCAAGUCGAACGGCAGCACAGUAAGAGCUUGCUCUUACGGGUGGCGAGUGGCGGACGGGUGAGGAAUACAUCGGAAUCUACUUUUUCGUGGGGGAUAACGUAGGGAAACUUACGCUAAUACCGCAUACGACCUACGGGUGAAAGCAGGGGAUCUUCGGACCUUGCGCGAUUGAAUGAGCCGAUGUCGGAUUAGCUAGUUGGCGGGGUAAAGGCCCACCAAGGCGACGAUCCGUAGCUGGUCUGAGAGGAUGAUAAGCCACACUGGAACUGAGACACGGUCCAGACUCCUACGGGAGGCAGCAGUGGGGAAUAUUGGACAAUGGGCGCAAGCCUGAUCCAGCCAUACCGCGUGGGUGAAGAAGGCCUUCGGGUUGUAAAGCCCUUUUGUCGGGAAAGAAAAGCAGCAGGUUAAUACCCCGCUGUUCUGACGGUACCCAAAGAAUAAGCACCGGCUAACUUCGUG